rfam:Ovis aries breed Texel chromosome 8, whole genome shotgun sequence.
UCCCAGCUGGCUCAGACAGUAAAGAAUCUGCCUGCAAUGAAGGAGACCCAGGUUCAAUCCCUGGGUUGGGAU